rnacentral:rRNA from 1 species
GACGAACGCUGGCGGCGUGCCUAAUACAUGCAAGUAGAACGCACAGUUUAUACCGUAGCUUGCUACACCAUAGACUGUGAGUUGCGAACGGGUGAGUAACGCGUAGGUAACCUGCCUGGUAGCGGGGGAUAACUAUUGGAAACGAUAGCUAAUACCGCAUAAUAUUGAUUAUUGCAUGAUAAUUGAUUGAAAGAUGCUAUUGCAUCACUACCAGAUGGACCUGCGUUGUAUUAGCUAGUAGGUGAGGUAACGGCUCACCUAGGCGACGAUACAUAGCCGACCUGAGAGGGUGAUCGGCCACACUGGGACUGAGACACGGCCCAGACUCCUACGGGAGGCAGCAGUAGGGAAUCUUCGGCAAUGGACGAAAGUCUGAACGAGCAACGCCGCGGGAGUGAAGAAGGUUUUCGGAUCGUAAAGCUCUGUUGUAAGAGAAGAACGGGUGUGAGAGUGGAAAGUUCACACUGUGACGGUAGCUUACCAGAAAGGGACGGCUAACUACGUG